rnacentral:rRNA from 1 species
AACGAACGCUGGCGGCAUGCCUAAUACAUGCAAGUCGAACGAGAUCUUCGGAUCUAGUGGCGCACGGGUGCGUAACGCGUGGGAAUCUGCCCUUGGGUUCGGAAUAACUUCUGGAAACGGAAGCUAAUACCGGAUGAUGACGUAAGUCCAAAGAUUUAUCGCCCAAGGAUGAGCCCGCGUAGGAUUAGCUAGUUGGUGGGGUAAAGGCCCACCAAGGCGACGAUCCUUAGCUGGUCUGAGAGGAUGAUCAGCCACACUGGGACUGAGACACGGCCCAGACUCCUACGGGAGGCAGCAGUAGGGAAUAGUGGACAAUGGGGGAAGGUAUGAGCCAGCAAUGACGCGUGAGGGAUGAAGGAGUGAGGGGUGUAAAGCUCGUUGACACGGGAGGAUAAGGAGAGUAACGGGGGAAUAAGCGACGGAUAACUCCGUG